CCAGACUCCUACGGGAGGCAGCAGUGAGGAAUAUUGGUCAAUGGGAGGAAUCCUGAACCAGCCAUGCCGCGUGCAGGACGACGGCUCUACGAGUUGUAAACUGCUUUUGUACCGGGGUAAAAUGCCUUACGAGUAGGGUUUUGAAAGUACGGUACGAAUAAGGAUCGGCUAACUCCGCGCCAGCAGCCGCGGUAAUACGGGGGAUGCAAGCGUUAUCCGGAUUUAUUGGGUUUAAAGGGUGCGUAGGCUGUGAGGUAAGUCAGCGGUGAAAUGCCCCCGCUCAACGGGGUGAAGUGCCAUUGAUACUGCCUUGCUGGAAUGCGGAUGCCGUGGGAGGAAUGUGUGGUGUAGCGGUGAAAUGCAUAGAUAUCACACAGAACACCGAUUGCGAAGGCAUCUCACGAAUCCGCGAUUGACGCUGAUGCACGAAAGCGUGGGUAUCAAACAGGAUUAGAUACCCGAGUA
rnacentral:rRNA from 1 species